ACGCACGCUGGCGGCGUGCUUAACACAUGCAAGUCGAACGGAAAGGCCCUGCUUUUGUGGGGUGCUCGAGUGGCGAACGGGUGAGUAACACGUGAGUAACCUGCCCUUGACUUUGGGAUAACUUCAGGAAACUGGGGCUAAUACCGGAUAGGAGCUCCUGCUGCAUGGUGGGGGUUGGAAAGUUUCGGCGGUUGGGGAUGGACUCGCGGCUUAUCAGCUUGUUGGUGGGGUAGUGGCUUACCAAGGCUUUGACGGGUAGCCGGCCUGAGAGGGUGACCGGCCACAUUGGGACUGAGAUACGGCCCAGACUCCUACGGGAGGCAGCAGUGGGGAAUAUUGCACAAUGGGCGGAAGCCUGAUGCAGCAACGCCGCGUGCGGGAUGACGGCCUUCGGGUUGUAAACCGCUUUCGCCUGUGACGAAGCGUGAGUGACGGUAAUGGGUAAAGAAGCACCGCCUAACUACGUG
rnacentral:rRNA from 1 species